UACGAGGGGGCGAGCGUUGUUCGGAAUUAUUGGGCGUAAAGGGUGCGUAGGCGGUUCCGCAAGUCCUGUGUGAAAUCUUCGGGCUUAACUCGAAGCCUGCACGGGAAACUGCGGGGCUUGAGUGUGGGAGAGGUGAGUGGAAUUCCCGGUGUAGCGGUGAAAUGCGUAGAUAUUCGGUGGAACACCAGUGGCGAAGGCGACUCGCUGGACUGAUACUGACGCUGAGGUGCGAAAGCGUGGGGAGCAAACAGG
rnacentral:rRNA from 1 species